GGGAGCGACUUGGCUUCGACAGGAGUAAGUCUGCUUAGAUGGCAUGUCGCUUUGGGCAAAGCGUAAAAAGCCCAAAUAAAAUUAAACGCAAACAACGUUAAAUUCGCUCCUGCUUACGCUAAAGCUGCGUAAGUUCAGUUGAGCCUGAAAUUUAAGUCAUACUAUCUAGCUUAAUUUUCGGUCAUUUUUGAUAGUGUAGCCUUGCGUUUGACAAGCGUUGAGGUGAAAUAAAGUCUUAGCCUUGCUUUUGAGUUUUGGAAGAUGAGCGAAGUAGGGUGAAGUAGUCAUCUUUGCUAAGCAUGUAGAGGUCUUUGUGGGAUUACUUUUGGACAGGGGUUCGAUUCCCCUCGCUUCCACCA
rnacentral:tmRNA from 1 species